rnacentral:rRNA from 1 species
GUGUAUGGCCAUGCUUCCCUGAACAAGCCCCAUCCAGGCUGAUCUUAGAAGCUAAGCGGGGUUGUGGAUGGGUUAGUACCUGGAUGGGAGACCACCUAGGAAGACCAGAUGCUGUAGGUA